rnacentral:lncRNA from 1 species
AUGGAACUGGAAUGUGGUAAAGCGUGUUGGGAUCAGGGAGAAUGUUCUCCCUAUCCCCGGUCUGUGGAAGAACAGUGGAAGUGGACUCUUGAUCAGGUGGUGAGUGGCAUGAAAGAAGAGGACAGGGAAGGAGAAUUGGAUGCAAUAAAAAAGUUGUGGAAAGAAGCUCAGAAGCAAAAGGUACUUCCCCCUCCAGAGGUGAAGGUUAAUUUAGCUGAAGCAUUGUGUAAGUGGGAGUCAGAAAUUCACACUAGAUUACAGGAUCAUUUGGAUAAUCCAAAAUCCAAAGGUUUUAUAGCAGGAAAAUCAUGGAAAAAACAGGGUAAGGAGUUAGAAGAUAAGCGUCGAAGGAUACAUGUUGUGGCUGUGGCAUGUGCAGCGGUGCACUAUUGCAGAUCGAGGGGGGUCACACGAGUGCCCAAUGUGGAGAAGCCUCCAUUAGAAGAUCCAAACCAGACACUGACACUUAACACCACUCUUUACCCAGUAUUACCUACUACCUCUUCCUUACCCCCAUAUCAAUUGCCAGUUUUGACUACUAAUAGUGGUCAGUUAGAUGUGGACAGAAAUGAAGAAAUGCAGGAUUUACGUGAGACAGUGUGGGACCUUCGGAGACAGGUUAGCAGGAUCAAACAGAGACAGGAAGAGGUUGAGGAUAGCUUGGGAAAAUUUGAAUUUAGAGAGAAAGGUCAAGUGGUUCGCCCUAAAAUCUCCCAACAAACUAUAUUUAAGAAACAGGACAGUCAAAAAUCUGCAUUAAAUGUCUUUAAAAGACUUAACAAUCAAACAAAACAAGAGAAAAGAGCUGAUCCCUCAGGAGGAUUUGCCAGGGCUGAGCUCAGGGAGGAGAAGGCAAGACUGAUUUAUGGCAGUGAUAAAGAGGAGAGUGAGAGUAAGACAGACACCCUCAAACUUCCAGCUACAUUUAUGGGAGAAUCGGAUCUUCAGGAGCCCGUUGAAGCUCAGACAAAAUUAUAUGAAAAAGACCCAGCUUCAAGUAUGGAAAAUUAUGAAUCAGAAUCAGGGGAAGAGAGUGAGUGUGAGGAUAGAGGUGUACCGUUGACAGGGGCCAUAAAUAAUGAGGAGGCAGGUCAAACAGGAAUACACAUGAGGAGUAAGGGGCCCGUUUCAGGAAUGCCGCAGUUCCAGGCCCCUCUGAUACAGAAAAGAGGAGGACAGGAACCAGUAUAUGUUCCGUUUGCUAUCACAGACAUUAAUUGUUUGGUGGAUAAGAUGCCCCCACCUGCAGAGGGAGGCGGCAAGUGGAUGUCCAGCCUUUUCAGUUUAACACAGAGCAUGCAGCUGGCGAUGGGAGAUUUUAGAGGAAUUCUAGGGAGACAAGUGUCUCUCUGGGAUUUGGAUAAGGUCGAGGUAGCAGCAGGUAUUAAAGACAGACCUAACGCUGCACGUUUUGGCCCUUGUGCAACCAGGGUUGGUGAAGCUAUGAGACAGAUAUUUCCAGUAUCUCCAGGAGCAAUGCAGAACUUAAGAUUUAAAUGGGAGGAAAGUGAGUCGGCACAUGGAUUCCUUGCGAGGUGUAAAGAGGAAUGGAUGUGUGCCACAGGUUGCCAUCCUGGCUCAGAUAAUCUACACACCAUUUUGUUCCGUCAGGCAAUAAUUUUAGGACUUCCACAGUCAGUAAAAGAAGCCAUGGAAGGAAAUCCUGACCUUCCAGGCAGUACGGCGGAUGUCUGGGAGAGACAUCUUUCACACCACAUCAACACAUUUAAAGUUAAACAACAGGGAAAGAAAGAGGAGGUGAUGACAGCGCAGGAACAGCUCCUUAAAAUGCAGUUAGAUGAGGCACGGAAAAAGCUUAAUGAUAAACAAAAGGAAGAGAAACAGAUGGUUCAGCAGUUUUCUCGGCAGGUGCAGCCAGAUCAGUUAGGUCCGCCAGAAGAUUUUGCUCCAAUAAACCCUUAUUGGGUCAGUCCAAGGGGAGGCAUGUGUGGGAGACACGGCGGGCAGGGAUACGGCUUGAUAGGCGGGUACUUAGGCCAAGAUCAGUGUCACGCCUGCAAAGGGUAUGGUCAUUGGCAAAGGGACUGUCCAUAUCACAACUACGCGGAGGUACCAGGCAGUGUUCCACCAUCUCAUGGAAUUUAUCACCGGAGCCAAUCUCAUCUGACACCGUCGAGCUUGUGGGGUUCUCAGGGAGACCGGAGAGACUGCCGUUUUCUGUGCCAUUAG